UACGAAGGUGGCAAGCGUUGUUCGGAUUUACUGGGCGUAAAGGGAGCGUAGGUGGUGGGGUAAGCCCCGCGGGAAAGCUCCAGGCUUAACCUGGAAAGGUCGCGGGGGACUGCUCCGCUUGAGGACGGGAGAGGAGCGCGGAAUUCCCGGUGUAGCGGUGAAAUGCGUAGAGAUCGGGAGGAAGGCCGGUGGCGAAGGCGGCGCUCUGGAACGGCCCUGACACUGAGGCUCGAAAGCGUGGGGGAGCAAACAGG
rnacentral:rRNA from 1 species